rnacentral:rRNA from 1 species
GACGAACGCUGGCGGCGUGCUUAACACAUGCAAGUCGAGCGGUAAGGCCUUUCGGGGUACACGAGCGGCGAACGGGUGAGUAACACGUGGGUGAUCUGCCCUGCACUUCGGGAUAAGCCUGGGAAACUGGGUCUAAUACCGGAUAUGACCUCCUAUCGCAUGGUGGGUGGUGGAAAGAUUUAUCGGUGCAGGAUGGGCCCGCGGCCUAUCAGCUUGUUGGUGGGGUAAUGGCCUACCAAGGCGACGACGGGUAGCCGACCUGAGAGGGUGACCGGCCACACUGGGACUGAGACACGGCCCAGACUCCUACGGGAGGCAGCAGUGGGGAAUAUUGCACAAUGGGCGAAAGCCUGAUGCAGCGACGCCGCGUGGGGGAUGACGGCCUUCGGGUUGUAAACCUCUUUCAGCAGGGACGAAGCGCAAGUGACGGUACCUGCAGAAGAAGCACCGGCUAACUACGUG